CCGUCGCUACUACCGAUUGAAUGGCUCAGUGAGGCCUUCGGACUGGCUCGAGGAGGUUGGCAACGACCACCUCGAGCCGGAAAGUUCGUCAAACUCGGUCAUUUAGAGGAAGUAAAAGUCGUAACAAGGUUUCCGUAGGUGAACCUGCGGAAGGAUCAUUA
rnacentral:rRNA from 1 species